rnacentral:rRNA from 1 species
GUCUACGGCCAUGCUACCCUGAACAAGCCCGAUCCUGUCUGAUCUCGGAAGCUAAGCAGGGUCGGGCCUGGUUAGUACUUAGAUGGGAGACCACCUAGGAAGACCAGGUGCUGUAGAUG